UAGGGAAUCUUCCACAAUGGGCGCAAGCCCGAUGGAGCAACACCGCGUGAGUGAAGAAGGGUUUCGGCUCGUAAAGCUCUGUUGUUAAAGAAGAACACGUAUGAGAGUAACUGUUCAUACGUUGACGGUAUUUAACCAGAAAGUCACGGCUAAAUACGUGCCAG
rnacentral:rRNA from 1 species